rnacentral:rRNA from 1 species
GUCGCGUCUGUCGUGAAAGUCCGGGGCUUACCCCGGAUCUGCGGUGGGUACGGGCAGACUAGAGUGCAGUAGGGGAGACUGGAAUUCCUGGUGUAGCGGUGGAAUGCGCAGAUAUCAGGAGGAACACCGAUGGCGAAGGCAGGUCUCUGGGCUGUAACUGACGCUGAGGAGCGAAAGCAUGGGGAGCGAACAGGAUUAGAUACCCUGGUAGUCCAUGCCGUAAACGUUGGGCACUAGGUGUGGGGACCAUUCCACGGUUUCCGCGCCGCAGCUAACGCAUUAAGUGCCCCGCCUGGGGAGUACGGCCGCAAGGCUAAAACUCAAAGGAAUUGACGGGGGCCCGCACAAGCGGCGGAGCAUGCGGAUUAAUUCGAUGCAACGCGAAGAGCCUUACCAAGGCUUGACAUGUUCUCGAUCGCCGUAGAGAUACGGUUUCCCCUUUGGGGCGGGUUCACAGGUGGUGCAUGGUUGUCGUCAGCUCGUGUCGUGAGAUGUUGGGUUAAGUCCCGCAACGAGCGCAACCCUCGUUCCAUGUUGCCAGCACGUAGUGGUGGGGACUCAUGGGAGACUGCCGGGGUCAACUCGGAGGAAGGUGAGGACGACGUCAAAUCAUCAUGCCCCUUAUGUCUUGGGCUUCACGCAUGCUACAAUGGCCGGUACAAUGGGUUGCGAUACUGUGAGGUGGAGCUAAUCCCAAAAAGCCGGUCUCAGUUCGGAUUGGGGUCUGCAACUCGACCCCAUGAAGUCGGAGUCGCUAGUAAUCGCA